rnacentral:rRNA from 1 species
GGAAAUUUUUCCGCAAUGGGCGAAAGCCUGACGGAGCAAGACCGCGUGGGGGAGGAAGGUUCUUGGAUUGUCAACCCCUUUUCUCAGGGAAGAACACAAUGACGGUACCUGAGGAAAAAGCAUCGGCUAACUCCGUGCCAGCAGCCGCGGUAAUACGGGGGAUGCAAGCGUUAUCCGGAAUGAUUGGGCGUAAAGAGUCCGUAGGUAGUCAUCCAAGUCUGCUGUUAAAGAGCGAGGCUUAACCUCGUAAAGGCAGUGGAAACUGGAAGACUAGAGUGUAGUAGGGGCAGAGGGAAUUCCUGGUGUAGCGGUGAAAUGCGUAGAGAUCAGGAAGAAC